rnacentral:rRNA from 1 species
UACGUAGGCUGCGAGCGUUGUUCGGAGUUACUGGGCGUAAAGAGUGCGUAGGCGGUUUUCUAAGUUUGGUGUGAAAUCUCCCGGCUCAACUGGGAGGGUGCGCCGAAGACUGGAAGGCUUGAGUAUGGGAGAGGUAAGCGGAAUUCCUGGUGUAGCGGUGAAAUGCGUAGAUAUCAGGAGGAACACCUGCGGUGUAGACGGCUUACUGGACCAUAACUGACGCUGAGGCACGAAAGCGUGGGUAGCAAACGGG